UUGACAUAAAUGAAAUACAAAAUGAUUAACCAACACACACCUUCCAAAUUUAAUUGGGUAUGAUCACAAUAUGUGUAGAGAGAUCUGUGUGUGUUUAUGUCUUUUGCCUAAGAAGAAUAAUAUGAUCCACCCCACCCAACCGAACAAAACGCGUCUUCUCUCUUCUUUUGUCCUUUUCUUUCCGCCCCAUUCCACUCAACUUUUUCCACCUAUUUAAAUUCAAACCCAACACUAACCAAUACCUCAACACACACACAACAUUGUAACAACAAAAUGUUUUUCUAUCUCUUCUUCUUUCUUUUCUUCUCUGUUAAUCCUUCACUCUCACNN
rnacentral:lncRNA from 1 species